rnacentral:lncRNA from 1 species
UUGCUCCUCAUCAACUAUUCCUUCUUCUUCUUCUUUAGAGAAUUUUUUUACCUGGCACAUGACCAUGAAGCAUAAUAUUGCAUUUUUCAGACUCUUUGCAGCAAUGUGGCCACAUGGUUAAAUUCUGGUUAAUGAUAAGCAGAAUUAUAUUGAGACAGUUUCUGGAAGCUUUCCCCUGAAAAUAAUUAGCACACACCCUUUUUUUUCUUCCCUUCUUUGUCCAUCCUGUUGCUUAGAAUGUGGUAUGGUGGCUGGGGAGCCAUCUUAGAUGACAGAGCAGGAAGCUGGAAGGAGCCUAAUGCCUUGAUGAUUUUGCAGAGUAGAACUGUUAGGUUGUCCCUGCAGACUGUGGACUUUAGACUUUCCUAUGAGAGAAAUAGCUUAUUAUCUUCCAUCUUAUUUAAACACUAUUAUUGUGAGUCUCUCACUUGCGGCUCUAAUUCUUACACACUGGGGAAAUGCUUCUAACUGGGUGUUACCAUUUGUUCCAAAUACUUGUUUGGUUUUAAAAUCUCAUGUGAAUCAAUACAAGAGAGUGAAAGCUGAGUCAAAGGGAAAUUGUUCUUUGGGAUAGUCUUAGGUUUAAAAAUAAUCUCCUGGCAAUCCAUAGCGAUACAGCAAACAUACUUUGCAAGCUUUAGCAACUGAAAAGCUUCUAAAGGGUCUACCAUGGAACCACAGUGAUGUCAAGCGUCAGGCCAUAUGCAACAUGACCAUCAGCUUGUGGAAGCAUCACUAACAGUUUGCCUAAAGUAUACAUGAAUGGACCUAUACUGAGAAUUUGAGAACCUGCAGUUCAUCUGCAACACUCAAGUGACUUGAGUUGAUAUUUCAUGUUCCUAGAGGCAAUUCAAAGUGCAAUACUAUCAGCAAAGACUAUUUCUGAGGGCUCCUGUAAAUACUGAAACAGUACCAUAAAUAUCCAUGGGUGACCCAUGGUACUUGCUACUUACUAUUACAGUCUAAAAGUGACUAUGGAAAUAGGGUAUGAGUUUCUUGAGGGAAGGUACUUCUUUCUGGCACUUCUUUAUCACUAGUACCUGCUCAGUGUUCUUCCCUUGUACCAUUCUUGUAACUGUUUACUGACUGGUUCCUGGACACCCUGACACUGUUCUUGUUUCUCAAUUGUGUCAAGCUCAUUCCUGCCUCUGGGCCAACACAUCUGUUGUAUCUUCUACCUGGAAGACUGCUUUCUCAGACCUUCUUCUGGAUGAUUCUUUCUCAUAGUUCAUAUCUUAUAUCAAAUAUUGCCUCCUCAGUAAAGCCUUUAUUUGACCUAUGAAUUUUGAGUCUUUGCCCUGGUCGCUCUAGGGGUAUGUAACGUCAUCUGAAAUUAUUUAUUAGUUUCCUGCAUAUUGACUGUCUUUCUUAUGCUUAGAGAAAGGGCAGGGACCCUGUUAGUUUUGUUCACCUUGUUUCUCCAGAGCAUGGUCUGGCCUAUAGUAAGCACUUAAUAGAUAGUCCGAUGAAAGACUAUUGAACAUGGCACAAUUAUCAUGGGCAGUCUGUAGGAUUUUACAAGAAAUCCAUAAUGUUCUAUAAGUACUUAUGGGAGAUCCAUAAUGGUGGUGCAGACAUAUACAGAUAAUCUAUGGGCUCCUACAGGUCAGCUGUUCUAAGACUACAAAUCCUUCUAGAUUAUUUUAAAAGGAGCUACUAAGCCCUAUAAGGCAAUCUGUGGGGGGGCCAGCCUUCCAUAUAUUAUGAAAUGAGUCCACAGGGUAUUUAUAAUCACUUGGUAGAGAACAAAGGAAAGGUAUUUCUUAGACUGCCACAGAAGAAACAUGAGUAAAGGCAUGGUGGCCAAGGAAGGGCCUGCAUCCUCAGGGAACAAGGCAUAGGUAGGGCUGGAAUGUCAGCAUGACCCAAGCAGAGCAGACAGGCUAGAAGUUAGUAUAGGGUCAAACUGUGGAAGCCUUUCAGAGUAUGUAAAGGAGUUUUGACUUCAGCUCUUCUCUCUGGGCACUGGAUUCCUCACCUGUAAAAUAAACUGGCUGAACUAUAUUAAGGAUGCCAAUUAGCCAGUGGGCCAUCGUUCUCCCACUCUGUGUCAGUAGUGGAUGUUCUUGGUACUCUUCCCAGACCCCCUUUACUGGGCUGGUGCACCCUCUUCCCAACUGCUGUGAGUGUUGGCUGCCAAUGACUCACAGCUGCUCCCUCUCCCAGGAAUAGCCAUCCCCUAAGGAGAGCCACAGGCUGGGAGGUUGUGCACCAUCACCGCCCCUACUGACCAUAGCCAAUGACAGACUGUCAGUACACAAAGGUCAGUCCUCUGGCCUCAAUUCACGCCCCAGUUACUAUCAUUUGGAAUGAGAACAAGAGGAAGGGGAUGGAUUAAAGGGAGCUUGAGCCAAGAUAAACUUUGAAACAAGUUGUGAAUUGACUGAGAUUUACUCAGGUCCUCCCUUUCUCCUCACUCCUAUCCCCACUGAGCUGCCCUCAUCUUAAAUUUUGGAUCCUCCCUCCUGACCUCCCACAGUUUCUCAUGGAGAGGGCUAGCAAGACCUUGAGGCCAGUCAGGCCUGGGACAAGAUCCACACUCUGUCACUUAGCAGGUCAGUCUUGUAGAAGUCUCUUAUUCUGAGCCUUGGUUUCCUCAUUUGUAAAAUGGGGAUAAUAAUAUAUUCUUCACCUCAGCAACAUAGUUAUGGACCUGUCUCCUCAGACAGGGGAAACAAAAGCAGAAAUGAACUCCUGGGACUACAGCACAAUUAAAAGAUCUUGCACAGCAAAGGAAAUCAUCAACAAAAUGAAAAGGCAAUCCAAUGACUGGGAGAAGAUAUUGGUAAAUGACAUAUCUGAUAAGGGAUUAAUAUCCAAAAUAUAUAUACAGAACUUAUACAACAACAAAACAAAACAAAUAAUCUGACAAAAAAUGGGCAGAGGACCUGAACAGACAUUUCUCCAAAGACAUAUAGGUGGCCAACAGACACAUGAGAAGAUACUCAACAUAACAUCAGUCAUCAUCAAAGAAGUGCAAAUCUGGACUACUAUGAGAUAUCACCUCACACCUGUCAGAAUGGCUAAAAUAAAAAA